GUAAUUUCUUAUACUGCAUUAAGCUAAUGUUGUAUAUUUUUCAUCAUAUACAUUGUUGUUUGUAUUUCUUAAAAUUUGAUUUUAGUCUUAAAAAAAUAUUUUCUAGGUCUUAGCAUUUUCAACAUAUACAGUAUAGUUACAAUGGUUUUAAAUUUUAAUUUCUAAUAUCAGUGUAAAAAUUGUGUUUGAUUUCAAUUGAUUGGUUCUUUCCUCAUUGAAUGUUUUAGUUUUCUACAUUUUUAAUGACUGGCAAUCAAUCUAACUAGAUGUCAUUCAUUCUGAAAUUUAUUGUGUGUGUGCUUGUGUGUGUGUUUGUGUGUGUGUCCCCUACCCAGCAUGGCAGAGGCAGGGCCUGGUGCAGGGGUGAGUGAGCAGCAGGGAUGAGUGUGGGGCGGAGAGGAUGCUGGGAGUCUUAUGGCCUCUCACCUUUGCGGAACUUCUUUCAUGCCAAGAGUCAGCAGUGUCAGGGUGAUAUCAUCGAAGAAGACAACACUUCCAUCCUUGGUGCCCAGGGCCACUCUGUUCCCAGUAGCCACCCGAAGGACCACUGAUACAGCCCAGGCUGGGCAGGCCACUGGCCCUGUCAAAGCCCGGUGCCUCGGGGGCUCCCCCCCGGUGGGUGAAGCCAUUGUGGUGAACAUUCUCUCAAAGAUGGAGGCUGUUUUCGUCCAGCAGGGUCAGGAGGUGGCCCAGACCGGCUCUGAAAUACCUCUCAGUGAUGGUGGCCGUGUCUCACAGGCAUAUGAGCUCCACAUCAGAGGCAUCUAAAAUCUUGAUGGGGCCCAGGCUCCGUACGGAUGGCCCAGACAUGAAGCUCAGUGUACAAGGCCAGUGUGCAGGGAGCUGGGCUGGUGGGGGAAGCUCUGCUCUUUGGGCUUUUGGAAGCUUCUCCAGCAACGAGUGGAAUUGCAGACCGAAAUUUACUCAUUUUGCGCUAGUCCUUCCCGCCACUGCUUGCAGGAUGUACCGCACAGCCCCUUGUCACCCAUGUCAGGAUCUGGGAUCUAGAAUUGGAAGUACCUGUAUGUCAAGUCAUUUUAAGGUAAGUCUCAUUGCCUCUUGUGAGGUAACAGAAUAUGGGUUUGUGCUCCUAGUUCUUGACACAGAGUUCCUAACACUCUUGUAAUUUCUUGCAUAAUAACACCAGGAACACAUGUUGUUCUACUGUAGUGACUCUAGAUGAGCUCCUAAAUAGUUCUUAGAUAUGGGGUGGUCAUCAGAAAGAUCAAACCAUGAUUGAAAGCUUGGUAUUUUCAGCUUUACAACCAUCCACCAAAGAGGAGAGUAGGGCUAGAGAUGGAGGUAGCAAUCAAUUAUGCCAGUAAUUGAUUAUUCCUAUGUGAAGAAACCUCUAAAAAAUCUAUGAGUAGGGGUCUGGUAGCUUCCAGGUUGAUGAACACAUCCAUGUUCAGGAUGACACAUCCCAACUUCACAGGGACAAAACUCUUCUGCUUGGGAAACUCCCAGCCUAGGUAUUACUUCAUCUGGCUGUUCAU
rnacentral:lncRNA from 1 species